CGCAUCACUCCACUUUGGCUCGUAAUUUCAACCUCUCCUAAAAUAGCAAAGGCGCAAAUUGGAGCUUUUCCCUCUCUCUUUGCCAAUUUCCAUUCUCCAGCGGAAGCGGGGGCAUUUUCUGAAAAGGAGUUUCACUCUUGUUGCCCAGGCUGGAGUACAAUGGCGCCAUCUUAGCUCACUGCAACCUCUGCCUUCUGCGUUCAAGCGAUUCUCUUGCCUCAGCCUCCCGAUGGUUACAGCCUUCAGCCAUGAUUGUAAGAUUCCUGAGUCUUCAUCAGAAGCAGAGCAGACGUCCAGCGCCAUGAUUCCGAUACAGCCUGCAGAACUAACUUUCUUCAGUUUGUCUCUCCUGGAAGGAUGAGCACCUCCACACUCAAGGUUUGACUAUAUUGAAACUACGUCAUUGAUCAUCAAAUCACAAGAAACAAGGAGUUUUAGUCUUCACUAGAAGCGCACCUAUGUGACCUUGAGCAAGUGUAUUCAGCCUUUCUUGGUCUCCCUUUCCCCAUCUGUAAAAUGAAUGUGUGGUUUGGUGAUGGCUGGUCUGUGGAUCCAUUGCAUCAGAAUCACCUGGAAAGCUACUGCAAAUGCUAAUUUGCAGGUCCUAGCCCAAUCAUGAAUAUCUUUGCACUUGGGCCAGGGGAUCUGUAGUUUCGUACACACACACACACACACACACACACACACACACACACACAGAGAGAGACACUCUCAGGUGAUUUGGAUGCACAGCAGGGUUUGGGACACAUUGGAUUAAACAAUCUGCCUGCUUGCCUGAGUUCAGAGGCAAAAAAAAAAAAAUGGCCCUUGGAUGUAUCCUUUAAUAGGAGGCCAAGAAACGGGAUCAGCCUCCUUGAGGAAGCAGGUUUGGUGCUUCAGGGAGCUACCAAGACUAUCUUCUUAAGAAGCAAUCACCACUUCCCAGGCUUCUCUUGCAUUCCACCUGGGAAUUCCGUGUAUAAUGCAUAUGUAGCCUACAAAGUCAAAGAACUGACUUUCUGCGCCUUUUAUUUAAAUUGGUUUCAUGGAAAGUGGCUAAAUAGGAGAACUGAGAUAAAUGAAAGUUUUACAAAGAUAUUGGAAUUUAACUAAAUAACAACUUAUCUUCGUUAUAUUUGAAGUUUCUGCACUGAUUACUUUUCAUUCCCUUCUCGGGAGUACAGAAUAAAAAGGAAAUGAUUUCACAUGAUACAAUAUGUUAAUCCACUCAUUUUAUCUGCACUCUGCCUUUUAAGAAACCCUCUUAACUGUAUUCCGAGGGGCAAUAAAUAACAAGGAAAUAUUGGCAAGUUGA